CAGGCCUAACACAUGCAAGUCGAACGAUACCUUUCGGGGUAUAGUGGCGCACGGGUGCGUAACGCGUGGGAAUCUGCCCUGGGGUUCGGGAUAACCGUUGGAAACGACGGCUAAUACCGGAUGAUGAUGAAAAUCCAAAGAUUUAGCGCCCUGGGAUGAGCCCGCGUCGGAUUAGCGAGUUGGUGGGGUAAAGGCCUACCAAGGCGACGAUCCUGAGCUGGGAUGAGAGGAUGAGCAGCCACACUGGGACUGAGACACGGCCCAGACGCCGACGGGAGGCAGCAGUGGGGAAGAUUGGACAAUGGGCGCAAGCCUGAGCCAGCAAUGCCGCGGGAGUGAUGAAGGCCUGAGGGUUGGAAAGCGAUUUGAGCCGGGACGAGAAUGACGGAACCGGAGGAAGAAGCCCCGGCGAACUGAGUGCCAGCAGCCGCG
rnacentral:rRNA from 1 species